rnacentral:rRNA from 1 species
GUUGCCUUUUUCAAAUUUUCAUGCAGGGGUAAACCCCGCGAUAAGCUUAACCCCACAGUGCCUAACAAACUUUCAAAUAGAGGUGUCCAGAUAAUUAAAACUCAUUUUCUACCUAAAAAGGCGCCCCAGACCGUUGACAGCCGGGAUAAAAUUGACUGGAGAACG